AGCUCCAAUAGCGUAUAUUUAAGUUGUUGCAGUUAAAAAGCUCGUAGUUGGAUUUCGGGUGUGAACGACCGGUCCGCCAUUUUGGUGUGUACUGGUCGGUUGCUCCUUAUUGCCGAGGACGUGUUUCUGGCCUUCAUUGGCUGGGACACGGAGUCGGCAGCGUUACUUUGAGAAAAUUAGAGUGUUCAAAGCAGGCUAUCGCUCUGAAUACUACAGCAUGGAAUAACACGAUAGGACUCCGAGCCUAUUCUGUUGGUCUUCGGGACCGGAGUAAUGAUUAAGAGGGACAGUUGGGGGCAUUCGUAUUCCGUUGUCAGAGGUGAAAUUCUUGGAUUAACGGAAGACGAACAUCUGCGAAAGCAUUUGCCAAGGAUGUUUUCAUUAAUCAAGAACGAAAGUA
rnacentral:rRNA from 1 species